rnacentral:sRNA from 1 species
AAUUUAAUUUAAACGACACACAUGUUCCGACACAAUGGUCUGGGUGCCUGCACUGAGAGGUUUCUUUGCUGGGUUGAUUAUUGGGGAAUGUGGAGGCUUAAC